rnacentral:rRNA from 1 species
GACGAACGCUGGCGGCGUGCCUAACACAUGCAAGUGGAGCGACGAACCAGUCUUCGGCCUGGGGCAAAGCCGCGAACGGGUGAGUAACACGUGGGUAACCUGCCCUGAUGAUUGGGACAACCCGAGGAAACUCGGGCUAAUACCAAAUGUGCCCUUCGGCCACAAGGCCGCUGGGGAAAGGAAGCUUCGGCCUCCGCAUCUGGAUGGGCCCGCGGCCCAUUAGCUUGUUGGUGAGGUAACGGCNCACCAAGGCGACGAUGGGUAGCUGGUCUGAGAGGACGAUCAGCCACACUGGGACUGAGACACGGCCCAGACUCCUACGGGAGGCAGCAGUGGGGAAUCUUGCGCAAUGCGCGAAAGCGUGACGCAGCAACGCCGCGUGGGGAAGACGGCCUGGU